rnacentral:rRNA from 1 species
AUUGAACGCUGGCGGCAUGCUUUACACAUGCAAGUCGGACGAGUGGCGGACGGGUGAGUAACAUCUCGGAACUUACCUAGUAAUGGGGGAUAACUAAUCGAAAGAUUAGCUAAUACCGCAUAUUAUUCGAGCGGCCGAUAUGUGAUUAGCUUGUUGGUGGGGUAAAGGCCUACCAAGGCGACGAUCAGUAGCGGGUCUGAGAGGAUGAGCAGCCAAACUGGGACUGAGACACGGCCCAGACGCCUACGGGAGGAAGCAGUGGGGAAUUUGGGACAAUGGGCGCAAGCCUGAUACAGCGAUGCCGCGUGUCUGAAGAAGGCAUUCGGGUUGUAAAGUACUUUUGUCAGGGAGGCGGUACCUGAAGAAUAAGCACCGGCUAACUACGUGCCAGCAGCCGCGGUAAUAC